rnacentral:tRNA from 1 species
GCCCGGGUGGCGAAACUGGCAGACGCACGGGACUUAAAAUCCCGAGCUCCGAAAGGGGCGUGCCGGUUCAAGUCCGGCCCCGGGCACCA